rnacentral:rRNA from 1 species
AAUCUUCCACAAUGGACGAAAGGCUGAUGGAGCAACGCCGCGUGAGCGAAGAAGGUUNNNGGAUCNUAAAGCACUGUUGCGAGNGAANAACAAGUACGGGAGUGACUGCCCGUACCUUGACGGUACUUCGUCAGAGAGCCACGGCUAACUACGUGCCAGCAGCCGCGGUAAUACGUAGGUGGCAAGCGUGGUCCGGAAUUAUUUGGCGUAAAGCGCGCGCAGGCGGUCCGUUAAGUCUGAUGUGAAAGCCCACGGCUCAACCGUGGAAGGUCAUUGGAAACUGGAAGACUUGAGUACAGAAGAGGAAAGCGGAAUUCCACGUGUAGCGGUGAAAUGCGUAGAGAUGUGGAGGAACACCAGUGGCGAAGGCGGCUUUCUGGUCUGUAACUGACGCUGAGGCGCGAAAGCGUGGGGAGCAAACA